rnacentral:rRNA from 1 species
AACGAACGCUGGCGGCAUGCCUAACACAUGCAAGUCGAACGAAGGCUUCGGCCUUAGUGGCGCACGGGUGAGUAACGCGUGGGAAACUGCCUAUUGGUGGGGAAUAACGACGGGAAACUGUCGCUAAUACCGCAUAAGCCCUUCGGGGGAAAGAUUUAUCGCCGAUAGAUGUGCCCGCGUCCGAUUAGCUAGUUGGUGAGGUAAUGGCUCACCAAGGCGACGAUCGGUAGCUGGUCUGAGAGGAUGAUCAGCCACACUGGGACUGAGAACACGGCCCAGACUCCUACGGGAGGCAGCAGUGGGGAAUAUUGGACAAUGGGCGAAAGCCUGAUCCAGCAAUGCCGCGUGAGUGAUGAAGGCCUUAGGGUUGUAAAGCUCUUUCGGGUGGGACGAUGAUGACGGUACCACCAGAAGAAGCCCCGGCUAACUUCGUGCCAGCCGCCGCCGUAA